CCUACGGGAGGCAGCAGUGGGGAAUAUUGGGCAAUGGGCGCAAGCCUGACCCAGCAACGCCGCGUGAAGGAAGAAGGCUUUCGGGUUGUAAACUUCUUUUCUCAGGGACGAAGCAAGUGACGGUACCUGAGGAAUAAGCCACGGCUAACUACGUGCCAGCAGCCGCGGUAAUACGUAGGUGGCAAGCGUUAUCCGGAUUUACUGGGUGUAAAGGGAGUGUAGACGGGGGUGCAAGUCUGAUGUGAAAAGCACGGGCUCAACCUGUGGCCUGCAUUUGAAACUGUGUUGCUUGAGUACUGGAGAGGCAAACGGAAUUCCUAGUGUAGCGGUGAAAUGCGUAGAUAUUAGGAGGAACACCAGUGGCGAAGGCGGGCUGCUGGACAGCAACUGACGCUGAGGCGCGAAAGCGUGGGGAGCAAACAGGAGUAGAUACCCUAGUAGUC
rnacentral:rRNA from 1 species